ACGGGUGAGUAAUAUAUCGGAACGUGCCCAGUCGUGGGGGAUAACGUAGCGAAAGCUACGCUAAUACCGCAUACGAUCUACGGAUGAAAGCGGGGGAUCGCAAGACCUCGCGCGAUUGGAGCGGCCGAUAUCAGAUUAGCUAGUUGGUGGGGUAAAAGCCCACCAAGGCGACGAUCUGUAGCUGGUCUGAGAGGACGACCAGCCACACUGGGACUGAGACACGGCCCAGACUCCUACGGGAGGCAGCAGUGGGGAAUUUUGGACAAUGGACGCAAGUCUGAUCCAGCAAUGCCGCGUGCAGGACGAAGGCCUUCGGGUUGUAAACUGCUUUUGUACGGAACGAAACGGUCUCUUCUAAUACAGGGGGCUAAUGACGGUACCGUAAGAAUAAGCACCGGCUAACUACGUGCCAGCAGCCGCGGUAAUACGUAGGGUGCAAGCGUUAAUCGGAAUUACUGGGCGUAAAGCGUGCGCAGGCGGUGAUGUAAGACAGAUGUGAAAUCCCCGGGCUCAACCUGGGACCUGCAUUUGUGACUGCAUCGCUAGAGUACGGUAGAGGGGGAUGGAAUUCCGCGUGUAGCAGUG
rnacentral:rRNA from 1 species